GUCUGAUGGAGCAACGCCGCGUGAACGAUGAAGGCUUUCGGGUCGUAAAGUUCUGUUGUAAGGGAAGAACAAGUGCCGCAGGCAAUGGCGGCACCUUGACGGUACCUUGCGAGAAAGCCACGGCUAACUACGUGCCAGCAGCCGCGGUAAUACGUAGGUGGCAAGCGUUGUCCGGAAUUAUUGGGCGUAAAGCGCGCGCAGGCGGCCUCUUAAGUCUGAUGUGAAAGCCCCCGGCUCAACCGGGGAGGGCCAUUGGAAACUGGGAGGCUUGAGUAUAGGAGAGAAGAGUGGAAUUCCACGUGUAGCGGUGAAAUGCGUAGAGAUGUGGAGGAACACCAGUGGCGAAGGCGACUCUUUGGCCUAUAACUGACGCUGAGGCGCGAAAGCGUGGGGAGCAAACAGGAUUAGAUACCCUGGUAGUCCACGCCGUAAACGAUGAGUGCUAGGUGUUGGAGGGUUUCCGCCCUUCAGUGCUGAAGCUAACGCAUUAAGCACUCCGCCUGG
rnacentral:rRNA from 1 species